rnacentral:rRNA from 1 species
CAGUAGCCGCGGGAAUACGGAGGGUGCAAGCGUUAAUCGGAACUACUGGGCGUAAAGCGUGCGUAGGCGGUUCGUUAAGUCUGUUGUGAAAGCCCCGGGCUCAACCUGGGAAUGGCAAUGGAUACUGGCGAGCUAGAGUGUGUCAGAGGAUGGUGGAAUUCCCGGUGUAGCGGUGAAAUGCGUAGAGAUCGGGAGGAACAUCAGUGGCGAAGGCGGCCAUCUGGGACAACACUGACGCUGAGGCACGAAAGCGUGGGGAGCAAACAGGAUUAGAUACCCCUGUAGUCCCUGUCUCUUAUAC